CAAUAGGACAUACAAUAAUAUACAGGGUACAGCCAGGGAAUAUAAGGAAUCACAAUAAAAAUACAGGCAACCUUUUUAAACAUAUAGUCCAGGUUAUUAAAAGUGGCUAGGUUUGCCACAAUUGCUAGGAGUGUCUGAGUGUAUUGUACGUAUUGAUUGGUUGUUCUGCAAAACCCUGUGGGCGGUACUAUGUUUGUAAAAUGGGCAUAAAAGCAGUGUGUUUGAUUAAAAGCUUCCGUUCUACUUCACCCUCGAUUUGGAGUGCCGUCUCUUAUUGGGGGAAUCUGCUACAAUGGAUUGCUAUGGUCUGCAUAUUCCCUUCCCUUGCUAUAAUCACUACUAAGUUCUUUUAAGAGCUUGUUCCUGUUUUGCUCGCUGAAGGAGGUUACGGUGGCUGCUGGAGUGCUGGAAACCCU